CUCUACGGCCAUGCCACCCUGAACAAGCCCGAUCCCGUCUAAUCUCAGAAGCUAAGCAGGUUUGGCCCUGGUUAGUACUUGGAUGGGAGACCACCUAGGAAGACCAGGUGCUGUAGCUG
rnacentral:rRNA from 1 species